UGCCAGCCGCCGCGGUAAUACGGAGGGUGCAAGCGCUGUUCGGAAUUAUUGGGCGUAAAGCGCGUGUAGGCGGUUCGUUAAGUCUGAUGUGAAAGCCCGGGGCUCAACCCCGGAAGUGCAUUGGAAACUGGCGAACUUGAGUACGGGAGAGGAAAGUGGAAUUCCGAGUGUAGGGGUGAAAUCCGUAGAUAUUCGGAGGAACACCAGUGGCGAAGGCGGCUUUCUAGCUUACUCCUGACACUCAAGCGCGAAAGCAAGGGGAGCGAACAGGAUUAGAUA
rnacentral:rRNA from 1 species